rnacentral:rRNA from 1 species
UGGGGAAUAUUGCACAAUGGGCGCAAGCCUGAUGCAGCAACGCCGCGUGAACGAUGAAGGUCUUCGGAUCGUAAAGUUCUGUUGCAGGGGAAGACAAUGACGGUACCCUGUGAGGAAGCCCCGGCUAACUACGUGCCAGCAGCCGCGGUAAUACGUAUGGGGCGAGCGUUGUCCGGAAUUAUUGGGCGUAAAGGGUACGUAGGCGGUCUAUUAAGUCAGGUGUGAAAGCGUGAGGCUUAACCUCAUUAAGCACUUGAAACUGAUAGACUUGAGUGAAGGAGAGGAAAGUGGAAUUCCUAGUGUAGCGGUGAAAUGCGUAGAUAGUAGGAGGAAUACCGGUGGCGAAGGCGACUUUCUGGACUUUUACUGACGCUCAGGUACGAAAGCGUGGGGAGCAAACAGG